rnacentral:rRNA from 1 species
GAGGGGAAUCUUCCGCAAUGGACGAAAGUCUGACGGAGCAACGCCGCGUGAGUGAAGAAGGUUUUCGGAUCGUAAAGCUCUUUCGUUAGGGACGAACGUGCUCUUUGUGAAUAAUGAGGAGUAAUGACGGUACCUAAAUAAGAAGCCACGGCUAACUACGUGCCAGCAGCCGCGGUAAUACGUAGGUGGCAAGCGUUGUCCGGAAUUAUUGGGCGUAAAGCGCGCGCAGGCGGGAUAUCAAGUCUGUCUUAAAAGUGCGAGGCUCAACCUCGUGAGGGGACAGAAACUGGUAUUCUUGAGUGUCGGAGAGGAAAGUGGAAUUCCAAGUGUAGCGGUGAAAUGCGUAGAGAUUUGGAAGAACACCAGUGGCGAAGGCGACUUUCUGGACGAUGUCUGACGCUGAGGCGCGAAAGCUAGGGGAGCGAACGGGAUUAGAAACCCUGGUAGUCC